rnacentral:rRNA from 1 species
CACGUAGGGUGCGAGCGUUGUCCGGAAUUAUUGGGCGUAAAGAGCUCGUAGGUGGUUUGUCGCGUUGUUCGUGAAAACUCACAACUCAAUUGUGGGCGUGCGGGCGAUACGGGCAUCACUGGAGUUCGGCAGGGGAGACUGGAAUUCCUGGUGUAGCGGUGAAAUGCGCAGAUAUCAGGAGGAACACCGGUGGCGAAGGCGGGUCUCUGGGCCGAUACUGACGCUGAGGAGCGAAAGCGUGGGGAGCGAACAGG